AAUGGUCCAUUUAUUAAUAAAGGAGAAAAAUACAGGCUUGAUUAAGACAGCCCCAGACGAACAAAAAGGAAUUGCAAAUUCCAGACAAAGAAAAUAACAAAUCUAAAGAAAAGGGAAGUCUUUAGAGAAGGACCAAGAUCCUCACGCCUUUCAUCUUUAAAUUCGAUUCAGUGAAGCUCCAGUUUGCCUUACCUUUUUUGCCGGCUUCGAAGCAUGUAUCCACGAGCUUAGGCAAGAUUCACUUCGGCAGUACCAAGUCUCACUACUGCCAUGAAUUCGACUUCAUUAAAGACUUCUUCCGCCCCCAGCUUGGCUUCAAACCCAACAAAUCAGGCUGAGCUCCACAUAAAUGAUACCACUGCCUCAAGUCGUGGUUUAGAUCAACUCAAUCCUUCAAGAUGUUAGACCGAGUAUUGCUUCACAAGAAAGUCUUUCUCCAACAAAUGGAACUGCAAUUUGAAGGGAAGUUUGGUAAUCAGCCUCAACUAGUUUUUCCAUUAGUAACCUGUCUUACUCUUCUUUAUAUGUGGCCUUCACUACUGCAACAACCCCUGAUUCUUUUAUAUUUAUCUGAUGAAGAUUGAUCUCCUCUGAAA